rnacentral:rRNA from 1 species
GACGAACGCUGGCGGCAUGCCUAACACAUGCAAGUCGAGCGAGCAGAUCCCUUCGGGGUGAAGCUAGCGGCGGACGGGUGAGUAACACGUGGGCAACCUGCCUCAUAGAGGGGAAUAGCCUUCCGAAAGGAAGAUUAAUACCGCAUAAGAUUGUGGCUUCGCAUGAAGCAGCAAUUAAAGGAGCAAUCCGCUAUGAGAUGGGCCCGCGGCGCAUUAGCUAGUUGGUGAGGUAACGGCUCACCAAGGCGACGAUGCGUAGCCGACGUGAGAGGGUGAUCGGCCACCUUGGGACUGAGACACGGCCGAGGCUCCUACGGGAGGUAGCAGCGGGGAAUAUUGCACAAUGGGGGAAACCCUGAUGCAGCAAUGCCGCGUGAGUGAUGACGGCCUUCGGGGUGUAAAGCUCUGUCUUCGGGGACGAUGAUGACGGUACCCGAGGAGGAAGCCACGGCUAACUACGUGCCAGCCGCCGCGGUAA